CCUGCCCUGUGACUUGUUAGUUUAACGGCCGCGGUAUUUUGACCGUGCGAAGGUAGCGUAAUCACUUGUCUUUUAAAUGGAGACCAGUAUGAAUGGCAUAACGAGGGCCAAGCUGUCUCCUUUUUCUAGUCAAUGAAAUUGAUUUUCCCGUGCAGAAGCGGGAAUACUAACAUAAGACGAGAAGACCCUAUGGAGCUUCAGACAAAAGACAGCCCAUGUUAAAAAACCAAAUUAAUGGAAACAACAAAGUGGUACCUGUCCACAUGUCUUUGGUUGGGGCGACCGUGGGGCACCAAAAAACCCCCAUGAGGAAUGGGACUUUCACCCCUAAAGCCAGAGCCACAGCUCUUGCAAGCAGAAUAUCUGACCAACAAGAUCCGGCAAAGCCGAUCAACGGACCGAGUUACCCUAGGGAUAACAGCGCAAUCCCCUUUUAGAGCCCAUAUCGACAAGGGGGUUUACGACCUCGAUGUUGGAUCAGGACCCCCUAAUGGUGCAGCCGCUAUUAAGGGUUCGUUUGUUCAACGAUUAAAGUCCUACGUGAU
rnacentral:rRNA from 1 species